CUGGGAGCGCCUCUCGCCCCGUCGCGUUUAUCGAGGAGACAGGUGAAAACUGAGGUUUAGAGAGGGUAAAUAACUUGCCCAAAAUCUGGAAAAGUUUGCCAACCCCUGGUCUUACUCCUCAUUAAGGUUUCCCUUCCUCUCCACCAUUCCCAAAUCUGAGUAUUCCAGAAGAGCUACUGUUUUUUUAAUGAUAUGGUAAAUUAAUUUCUAAAGGGAUUAAAAUGAAUACCUACCUGUUGUAAUGAAAAUAAAUGUAUAACAUAAAGCAAUCUGCAAAAUAGUAAGUAUACACUCAAAAUCUGUUAGCCAUUAUUACCAUUGUUAUUAUUUUUAUUUUCAGUCCAACCAACACUGAUACUGCUGAACUCCUUUUUUUUUAUGGAGUUUAUGGCACAUGUUUAAGUUAAUUAAUUAUGUAAGAUACAUAUAUAUAUGUACACAUGGUAAGGUGGAGCGGUUGUGAUAAUACCACAAGCUGCCUGAAGGGGCAGCCCACCCUAGAUCCUUUCCUAACUGAACAAGAUUCCAAAACACCAGUACCUCUGGUAAGUGGAAGGGCCCAGUCCAUCCCCCAGGCUGUGUCCUUGUGCGUCAGUCCUCUUGCUUCCCUCAGGCUCUACUUCUUUUUCCUACAAGCACAGAGAGCAUUGGGAUCAGUCAUGGAGCCCUGCCAGGGAUGAUGGGGAUUGAGAGCAGCCAAAUACCCUACAGGAGCCCAUGCAGCAGCCCACAGCUCUGCAGAGAGAAACUAAACUGACUGUUUUGCAGGCCUAAGACUUAUGCAGAGGUGGCGCCCGCCCGUAAUCCCAGCACUUCGGGAGGCCGAGACGGGCGGAUCGCUUGAGACCAGCCAGGAUAACAUGGCGAAACCACAUCUCUACAACAAAUACAAAAAUUAGCUGGGCGCGGUGGCACACGACUGUGGUUCCAGUUACUCGGCAGGCGGAGGUGGAAGGAUCCCUUGAGCCUCUGGAGGUGGAGGUUGCAGUGAGCUGUGAUUGCGCCACUGCACUCCAGCCUGGGCGACAGAGUGAGACCCUGUCAGAAAACAAAACAAAACAAAAGAAUUCUGUAAGAACUUCUAACAGGUACAUUCCUGUAAGCAUUACCCACCACUGGACUAGGCACUGGGUAGCCUGUAAAAUACAGUAAGAGCCGUCUCUGCACCCAGAAAAUUUACCAUCAUUUUGUGCUGGAAAGACAUGCCCUAGAAAACAAUAAACAGCACGACUGUACAUGAUUCCAUGCCAAAUGACUGCUAGGAAUUAUUUUAUUAAUCCAUUCAACAAAUACUUAUUGAGUAACCACUAUUAGCCAGCCACCGUUUUCCGUGUGAGGACAUAAAAAUGAGUGAGACAAGGUCUCUGCCAUCAAAAAACGAACAGAUCAGUGAGGAAAGACGGAUGUGUCAAGAAAGGCUUUGCAGGUCGAGCGCGGUGAAUCACGCUUGUAAUCCCAGCACACUGGGAGGCAGAGGCAGGCGGAUCAUUUGAGGUCAGGCGCUCGAGACCACCCUGGCCAACAUGGCGAAACUCCAUCUCUACUAAAAAUACAAAAAUUAUCCGGGCAUGGUGGUGCAGGCUUGUAAUCUCAGCUACUCAGGAGGCUGAGGCAGGAGAAUCAUUUGAACCCAGGAGGCAGAGGUUGCAGUGAGCCAUGAUCAUGCCACUGCACUCCAGCCUGGGUGAGCGAGACUCCAUCUCAAAAAAAAAAAAAAAAAAAAAAAAGAGGGAGAGAAAGACUUUACAGAGCUGGUAACACUUAUCCUGGCCUGGAAAGAAAGAAAGAAAGCUUCCUAUGACGCCCUCUGGAUAAAACUUA
rnacentral:lncRNA from 10 species